GAACCUUUAGUUUCGAAUGAAAGCUCACAAGCUUAGUUAUCGCAUGAAGCAGUGUUCGUUUCAUCACGGUGUCAGUCUGAUGUUUCUGCUUUUCCUAAAAUGUGCAUCACACGCUGAGAAAUGCUGACAAAUGCAGAGUAAAAUGCACAUGUGUAUCCCAUCACUUGA